GACGAACGCUGGCGGCGGGCUUAACACAUGCAAGUCGAACGGAAAGGCCCUGCUUUUGUGGGGUGCUCGAGUGGCGAAGGGGUGAGGAACACGUGAGUAAGCUGCACUUGACGGUGGGAUAACGUCAGGAAACUGGGGCUAAUACCGGAUAGGAGCUACUGCAGCAGGGUGGGGGUGGGAAAGUUUCGGCGGUUGGGGAUGGACUCGCGGCUUAUCAGCUUGUUGGAUGGGUAGUGGCUUACCAAGGCAUUGACGGGUAGCCAGCCUGAGAGGGUGACCGGCCCCAUUGCGCCUGAGAUACGGCCCAGACUCCUAUGGGAGGCAGCGGUGGGGAAUAUUGCCCAAUGGGCGGAAGCCUGAUGCAGCAACGCCGCGCGCGGGAUGACGUCCUUCGGGUUGUAAACCGCUUUCGCCUGUGACGAAGCGUGAGUGACGGUACUGGCUAAAGAAGCACCGGCUAACUACGUG
rnacentral:rRNA from 1 species